GGUGAGGUGGCCGAGUGGUCGAAGGCGCACGCCUGGAAAGUGUGUAUACGCCAAAAGCGUAUCGAGGGUUCGAAUCCCUUCCUCUCUG
rnacentral:tRNA from 1 species